rnacentral:rRNA from 1 species
UACGGAGGAUGCGAGCGUUAUCCGGAAUCAUUGGGUUUAAAGGGUGCGUAGGCUGGUAUUUAAGUCAGUGGUGAAAUUUUCGUGCUUAACAUGAGAGCUGCCAUUGAUACUGGGUACCUAGAGUGUAUUUGAUGUGGGCGGAAUGUGUUGUGUAGCGGUGAAAUGCUUAGAUAUGACACAGAACACCGAUAGCGAAGGCAGCUCACAAAGUUACAACUGACGCUGAUGCACGAAAGCGUGGGGAUCAAACAGG